AUGGCGGAUCCGGUGUCCGCUGCUGCCGCUGUAGGAUGGGCCAUGAAGGCCGCUGGGUGGGUCGCCUCGCCCAUCAUCUCCGAGCUUUACAAGAAAGCCUCUUCCCUCCUCAAUUUUGAUGCAUCGCGGAAGCUCAAGGAACUGGAGCCAAAGAUUUUGCUGCUGCAGCGCGUGAUGGAAAUAGUUGAGGAGAGCCCUUACAGGCCUCAUCUAGAGCAGCUGUUCAACGAUCUUAAGUCUGCUUUCUACCAAGCAGAGGACAUCUUGGAUGAUGUUGAGUAUUACCGUCUUGAGAAACAGAUACAAGAUGACUAUCUCAGGUCACAGGUGCCCCGCCUCGACGCAGCAAGAAUCAUGUGA
rnacentral:rRNA from 1 species